rnacentral:tRNA from 1 species
GUGUGUAUAGUGUAAACAACACACUAGAUUUUCAUUCUAGAGAUAUAGCUAUAUUACACACA